UGAAGACUAGGUGAUUUCUUGCUAUUUGUCUUAGUCUUGAUGGUGAGAGUUAACUGGUGCUUGUUGCUUGUGUUAUUUGUUAGACAAGAACACUAGUGAUUUCUUGCUAUUUGUUUUAGUCUUGGUGGAUAGAGUUACACGGUGCUUGUUGCUUGUGUGUGUUGUUAGACAAAGACGCUAGUGAUUUCUUGUUAUCUAUUCUAGCUUUGAUGGAUAGAGUUACCUGAUGCUUGUUGCUUGUAUGAGUUGUUUACAAAAAUAUUACUGAUUUCUUGUUAUCUGUUCUUUGAUGGACAAAUUUACUUGAUGCUUGUUGUUUGUGUGAGUUGUUAGACAAAAACACUAGUGAUUUCUUGCUAUCUGUCUUAGUCAUAGAGUUACCUGGUGUUUGUUGCUUGUGUGAGGUAUUAAGUAUCUUGUAGAACUAGUUGACAUGCUUGAAAGUUGGCAUGGACACUACGAUUAUCAAAAGAGAUAAUAUAGAGACCCAUUUGUUCCUAGCAUGCAUUGUUAAAAGUAGAAUAUUGGUGUCUCAUUAUGGUUGUUUAAUUUUAUUUAAUUUGGAGGUUGAAAAUUAGGGUGGAAGUUUAGUAGGUAGUUGAGAAUUUACUAGUUUUUCUUAUAAGUUUAUUAUUAUUACUCUCAUACUAUCUUAUUUUUUUAUUUGAUUAUUACUUGUUAUUUCCUUUGCUUCGGCUAUCUAUUUGUUGUUUCUAUUGUUUUGUUCUCCUGUAUUUUUGACUUAGCUUCCUCACUGCUGUAUUUCCUUUUGAUAACUAAUUUGAUAUGUUUUAUUCAAACCAGGGGUCUAUAGCAAACAGCCUUUCCCCAAGGGAGGGGUAAGCUGUAUAUACACUACCCUCCCUAUAUCCCAAUCGUGUGAUUACACUAGGUAUGUUUUUGUUGUUUUCAAGUAUUAGUUCGGAUACAUUUCAUUUUUUCCCUAUGCAAGCUGAUUGCCAGUCAUUAUGUAAAUACCUAUUUGCUCUAGUAUGCGUUGUUAAGUAGUAAUAUUGUGGUGUCUCAUAAAGGUUAUUUAAGUUUCAUUGCGUUUGUUUUCAAGUAGUGGUUUGAUAAUUUUGAUUUUUUUCACCUGUUGAAGCCGAUUGACCUAUAGAAUAUGAGUAAAAAGAGUAGAAAGAGACUUAUGCUAUGCUGGUUUUGUUCAGCGGAAUGGAUUACUUCUAUGAGCUUUAUCAGUUUUUUGGAAUUUGGAUAUUAUGAGGUUACAUCUCUGUUGUGAUGGACACUAGAUGUUCUUUUUGUUUUUGUUUCUUUUAACAAUGGUAUUUAGAGGUUCCUCAACUAACAAUGGUAUUGAUUAGCUUUGUCCCCAAACAUUUAGGUUGAUGGAAAGAAUUUACUUAGUUUUGCAUAUGUUAUGAUUAGGAUUGGAACCUUGAUUCCCUAGAUUGUUAAAAAGAGGAAGGUUGAGGGACUUGUUCUUCGGUCACAGAUUCGAUCCCUGUGCCAAGUGAACUAACUACUAAGUCCUGUAAUUAAGUUGAGAAGGAUAGAGACUAGAGGGGAAAAUCCAUCAUCCCUGAGUUUAGAAGGCUAUGUUGUUGGCCCAAAGGGCUGGUUUCUUGUAAAAUUCACAGUCAUAAAAGAAAAAAUUUAAAAUGGCUCUUGGACUUCUAGGCCACCUUAUUGGGACAGGUUUGAUAGAUGUAUUGGGAAAAAGAGAACACCAUUGGAUCACAUGUAUAUUAUAUUCAAAUUUUCCCAACUUAGGAUCCUAAAAGAAUGUGCAGUAAGAGUUAUAUGAGGGAUCCAAGCAAGUAUGAUAUUGAACAUUUCUUCAAGAUAAUAGCUGCUCCUUCAUGUGAAUCUUAUUUGAAGCAAAUGAAUAUCUAAAGGGAGAACAUUAAAAGUUAUGAAAAUGUUAUUUCUUAUGUGAGAAUGGUAGUUUUGGCUCUUUUUAGAAGGUCAGGGGAAGGUGAGAUUGUACGCAUCCCUACUUUUGUACUAUUGAACUAAAGUGGGUAUAUCUGUUACCUGUCAUGCAACUUUCAACUGCUGAACAGUGUCAUUAGGAAGUACUCAGAGCUUGAGCAGUCAAAUUAUUACUUUACCAGUUACCACAAGCUUUGUUAUUGGGCUUUGCUUUACUCUGAUGGGUCUCUUAAGUAUGAGAAGGCUCUGGCUGUGUACCCUCAAGUAUGAGAAGGCUCUGGCUGUGUACCCUCAAGUAUGAGAAGGCUCUGGCUGUGUACCCUCAAGUAUGAGAAGGCUCUGGCUGUGUACCCUCAAGUAUGAGAAGGCUCUGGCUGUGUACCCUCAAGUAUGAGAAGGCUCUGGCUGUGUACCCUCAAGUAUGAGAAGGCUCUGGCUGUGUACCCUCAAGUAUGAGAAGGCUCUGGCUGUGUACCCUCAAGUAUGAGAAGGCUCUGGCUGUGUACCCUCAAGUAUGAGAAGGCUCUGGCUGUGUACCCUCAAGUAUGAGAAGGCUCUGGCUGUGUACCCUCAAGUAUGAGAAGGCUCUGGCUGUGUACCCUCAAGUAUGAGAAGGCUCUGGCUGUGUACCCUCAAGUAUGAGAAGGCUCUGGCUGUGUACCCUCAAGUAUGAGAAGGCUCUGGCUGUGUACCCUCAAGUAUGAGAAGGCUCUGGCUGUGUACCCUCAAGUAUGAGAAGGCCUGGCUGUGUACCCUUAAAGUAUGAGAAGGCUCUGGCUGUGUACCCUCAAGUAUGAGAAGGCUCUGGCUGUGUACCCUAAGAGACAGACAAGAAAAGUUGGAGCGAGUGCUUGCAUUCUAUAAAUCUUCUAAAGGAAGUCCAUUCCAAGAAACUAGCACUCACGUAAGAGGAGAAUUUGAUGCUGUGGGUGCACUGUUGAUGAUCGGUACCAUUGAUGUAUCCAAGUGCAAUGCAAUUGAAAGAGCAAUUAGGACUGGUAUUGAUUCUAGGCUGACUUUUGAAACAACUAUCCGUGAAAAGGAUACACUUGUAGCAGAGUUUGUUGGCAGCAUAAGAGGCCAGAAGUGUAUCCUGGGUAGUUCACUUUCCUUAGCAAAAGUUCUUUAUGCAGCAAAUAUCAGUGAUUGGUGUUCUGCAGUUGCCAUUCCAGUCGGUGUCGAUGCAGAGAUAUUGCAGUACCUACAAGUUCACGUGAGGAAAGGGGGAUGACUGACUAUUCAUCUUUUGGGCCGCCCCUGCUGAAUCAACUAAAUGGUAGUGGAAUCGCUGUGAUGGUUAAAAAAUCAAAUAUUGUUGCCUGCUUGGCUCAGUUUGUCUCUGCAUUGCCACACUCUGG